rnacentral:tRNA from 1 species
GGCUGUGGCUGAGUGGUAAAGCUCUAGCCUGGCAUAUGUGAGGCACUGAGUUCAAUCCUCAGCACCA